CUCUGCACCCUUCCCGGGCUCCUCCUGUCCCCACUGCUCGGCUCCCCUCCCCCAGCUGCCACCACAUCCAGCAAACUUAGGGUAGGUGGGGUUGGCCAGUUAAGGAGGUGGCCAGACACUGGGAAUGGCUAGGGAACGGUGGCCCUCUGGGCGGUGGCCAAAGGAGAGUGAGGAGUUUGGGAGCAAACGGGAGACCCAGGGCAAAAGGCAGUGGGGCUCGGACCCUGUCUCCUCUCAGGAAGGGACGCUGUGGUAAGGGGUAUGCCUGGAUCUCCCCAUGUAAGAUGAGCUUGCACUUCUGUCUCUGCUGGCCCUCUGUGUACUGGACCGAGCGGUUCCUUGAGGACACCACCCUCACCAUCACAGUGCCCGCGGUGUCCCGCCGCGUGGAGGAACUGUCUCGGCCCAAGAGAUUCUACCUGGAAUAUUACAACAACAACAGGACGGCUCCUGUCUGGCCCAUUCCUCGGUCCUCCCUGGAAUACAGAGCGUCGAGUCGCCUGAAGGAACUGGCCGCCCCGAAGAUUCGUGAUAACUUCUGGAGCAUGCCCAUGUCUGAGGUGUCCCGGGUAUCCAGGGCAGC
rnacentral:sRNA from 1 species